CCUACGGGAGGCAGCAGUGAGGAAUAUUGGUCAAUGGCCGGAAGGCUGAACCAGCCAUGCCGCGUGAAGGUCAGUGCCCUAUGGGCGUUAAACUUCUUUUGUGCGGGAGCAAUAAUGGUCACGUGUGGCCAGACGAGAGUACCGUACGAAUAAGCAUAGGCUAACUCCGUGCCAGCAGCCGCGGUAAUACGGGGGAUGCAAGCGUUAUCCGGAUUUAUUGGGGUUAAAGGGUGCGUAGGCUGUGAGGUAAGUCAGCGGUGAAAUGCCCCCGCUCAACGGGGUGAAGUGCCAUUGAUACUGUCUUGCUGGAAUGCGGAUGCCGUGGGAGGAAUGUGUGGUGUAGCGGUGAAAUGCAUAGAUAUCACACAGAACACCGAUUGCGAAGGCAUCUCACGAAUCCGCGAUUGACGCUGAUGCACGAAAGCGUGGGUAUCAAACAGGAUUAGAUACCCCUGUAGUC
rnacentral:rRNA from 1 species